ACCCCCCAUCUUCCAGCACCGUCCCUGUUCCCUGCUUUCUGCUGCUCCCCACCACCUCACAGCUGUAACAAAGGCUUGGUCCCACCUGCCCAAUGAGGGUUGCAUUGGCUGCACAACCAACAGUCUAGCAUGGUCUCCUCUCCUUUCCCUCACUAAUAUUCAAAUAAGUGAUUUUUGGAAUGACUCAUACAUCAUGGGAAUCAGAUAUGUUUCAAAUGAUCUGAUGCCCAAAACUAUAAACAAUGUAUUUGAAAUGAAGGAGAUAGGAGAAGGAAGCAUAUUAAGACUGUUUGGAGCACCGUUUGUCCACACCGCAAUCAUUCGGCCAGCUUGCUGUACAUCACCAGCUAAUCACCCUGCUGCCACAUGCUUAACUAUGCCUUUCACUUAACUCUUUUAUCAAGAGCAAAUUAUCCUGAGGGCAUUUUCAGUACGAGUAGCCUCAGUAGGAACUGAACGCCUCACCUGCACUGCAUCAGUGCCAUGAUCAACCUAAGCUAUACUCUCUUCUUGUCACAAGAAGACAGAAAAUUGCUCAGCUUGCAUCGUGUGUUUUGCAGUUUCACAACGCAAACGGUUCACAUCUCUCCAUCAGGCAUGCAGGGAACAGUCGCAACCCACCGCCACUUCAGAUAGAUGAGAAGCAAUUAGGAUUAUUUUCUUAUUGAUGCAAAAGCUUUCUAUGAGGGUAAAUUGUGUGUGUGUGUGUGUGUGUGUGUGUGUGUGUGUGUGUGUGUGUGUGUGUGUGUGUAAGUGUGCAUGUACAUGUCAUGUGACUGCUACGCAACAAUCAUUCUUCCCUUCUCAAUGUUUCACACCCGAACUAACCUCAAACUAUUUCUCUCGAGCUGUGUCCACAUCCAACUGGCAUGUACAUUUAAAGGAUAGGUUCUGUUUGAAACAAUACUCACAGGCCCAUCCAGUUUGUACAUUGAAACUGUUUUCUGGUUGUCUAUACUUCCAGUCCCCCAGAUGGGGGACAAAAUCCACAGGAAUUUCGUACUAAACAGUCUAACUUUGGAAGAAGAUACCCACUUGAUUUGUCUAACUCAGACUGCUGAAGCCACAUAUCAGCUUCAGCUGAACUUCAUAAUGUAUUUUUGCACGGACAGAGGAUUGUGGAUUUUGUCCUCCAUGUCUUACAUUAGAGUCGCAAUAGUAAGGACACCAGUAAUAAUUACUGCAACCAGUAACUUUCAAUGUACUGUACAUAUGUGAGUAUUGUUUUAAACAUGCUUGAAGAAAUUUGGCCCUAUUCUUUAAUGCAAACUUGUAAAUAAAUGAUUUAUUAUUACAAAAUAAUUAGGUUUAUUUUAUCAGGGUAACUUCACAACUUCACUGAACUUAAUGCCAGAAAAAAAAUGGAAAAAUAGUGUGGCAAGUUCCAUUUCCUUUAAGAGGAGUUGUUUUGAUCCAAAGAUGAAAACUAAGAAGUAUGAAAUAAAUAUAUAUGCAUCAGUUGUGUUUGAGAACACAUUUUUGACACCUGUAUACUGUGUAUGACAUUUCUCGAAGGCUGAAGUGGACAGAUAGUUCAAUAUGUGAUCAUACACAGAAAAUUGCUUUUUUGGAAGACCAGUUUGGCAAACCUCCACAUUCCGACUACUUUAACUAUUUUACACAUUCAAAUUAAACAUCAUAUAUUCAGGCCAAUUUGGCUCCUUUGAACUAAUUACCUAAAUAUCGGCACCAUCUCUUGUGCAUGUACACACACACACACACAUGCAUAACGCAUACAAUGGCAGAGCUCUUGGCAGCCUUUGGCACACGUCAAAGUAGGUCUGUUGGCCGGGGUCUUUGCGGUCUCCAUUGUUGACCACACCUGCCCGCUCUUGUUGAAGCAUCCUUCCUCUGUUGAGUGCCCUCAUCAGGUGUGUCAACAGCCACAUGGGUCUUAGCAAAGUCCUUCAGUCUGUGUGGGCAGAUGAGAGGAAGUAGCCAAAUAGCUUCACUAAUGACUUUCUUGUUAAGCCUGGAAUUACUGUCACUACCCAAAGACAAUUUUCCCAUGAUGACAAAAGUUUCAGAUUCUAUUAACUUUCAUCUGUCUGAGAAGUGUGGCAGUAAUUAGGGUUAAUAGGGGUGUUGAGCUGAAUGUGGGCUGCAGAUAACCUUCAAGCCUCUUUGUACCUCUUGGUUUAUGAUUGCGUCAGCUAUCGCGGCAGUCUUCCUCUCCAUCCUUAGUCAUGGCAUUUUGUUUUGUCUGGCCUCUUUCUAAUUCGCUGUGACAGUUGCAUCUCGAUAGAGGACUUAGGAGGAGCUUAGGAGAAGCAUGGAAGGCAUGUCAGUAAAAACAGUGGUAGAUUGUAGCUGUGCAUGUAAGGAGCAGAGCAGGAGAGUAUCUUUCUGUCUCCCUGUCAACUGAUGGAUUGAAGCAAAGCACAAGUGCAUUGACAAGACUCCUACUGGCUUUCAAGCAUGCACGCUGUUGCCAAGAUCUUCAUGAUCAAAAGGAGGACGAACCUGGAAGAUACCGAAUGAGAGUCCAAUUAAAUAUAGCCUGCAGAGACAACAGCCGCUUGGACGUGAGAAGCCCUCCCACCCCACCCCUUGCCACUACCAGCAUCGUGAUGCUUUCUAUGAGCAGAAUAUUCUCAAAGUGAAUAGCAGAGGAUCUCUGAAGAACAUACACUCGGGCCCCAAAUGAAUGUUCAAUAUUUGAUUUUCUUUCUUUUUUUGACUGCCAUUUCCAUGCCUGGGCUUGGGGGUUUCAGUGAAAGCCUUAUGGAAAUGAACGGGAGAAAGAAAAAAAAAAAA